GGUUGGCUAGCUCAGUUGGUUAGAGCGUCGAGCUAAUAUUAGUUAACUCGAAGGUCGUGGGUUCGACCCCCCCGCUGACCA
rfam:Rhizoctonia solani AG-1 IA unplaced genomic scaffold scaffold11, whole genome shotgun sequence.